UACAGAGGGGGCAAGCGUUGUUCGGAAUUACUGGGCGUAAAGGGCGCGUAGGCGGCCUGUUAAGUCGAACGUGAAAUCCCCGGGCUCAACCCGGGAACUGCGUCCGAUACUGGCAGGCUUGAAUCCGGGAGAGGGAUGCGGAAUUCCAGGUGUAGCGGUGAAAUGCGUAGAUAUCUGGAGGAACACCGGUGGCGAAGGCGGCAUCCUGGACCGGCAUUGACGCUGAGGCGUGAAAGCCAGGGGAGCAAACGGG
rnacentral:rRNA from 1 species